CAGUGUUGCUAAGUGCGUUAAAACCCUAAGCAUUUAUUUUGAGAAAGCUUUGGAAAUGAACAAACAUAAUAGAUCAGAAACAUUGAACGAAGUUAAGUCUUUUCAUUUGCAUUUUACUACUUGUGUAUAUGAUCAAGGCUUUGCAAGCGGAGGCACGAGUCUAUUUACAAGAACUCUUUACCAAACCGACGCGAGCACUUAGAUAUGAAAAUGC
rnacentral:lncRNA from 1 species